CAUUACAACAGCUAUAAUGUACUUGAUUUUGAUCAUCCCAACGUGGAUAACUGUGGUAAUUCUAGAGCUAAUACAUGCACCAAAGCUCCGACUUCGGGACGAGCGCAUCUAUUAGACUAAAACCAAUCGGGCGCUUGCGCCCGUCAAUUGGUGACUCUGAAUAGCUCAGGCUGAUCGCAUGGUCUUGCACCGGCGACGUGUCUAUCAAGUGUCUGCCUUAUCAACUUUCGAUGGUAGUUUAUGUGCCUACCAUGGUUGUAACGGGUAACGGAGAGUAAGGGUUCGACUCCGGAGAGGGAGCCUGAGAAACGGCUACCACAUCCAAGGAAGGCAGCAGGCGCGCAAAUUACCCACUCUCGGCAUGAGGAGGUAGUGACGAAAAAUAACGAGACCGUUCUCUAUGAGGCCGGUUAUCGGAAUGGGUACAACUUAAACCCGUUAACGAGGAUCUAUGAGAGGGCAAGUCUGGUGCCAGCAGCCGCGGUAAUUCCAGCUCUCAAAGUGUAUAUCGUCAUUGCUGCGGUUAAAAAGCUCGUAGUUGGAUCUGCGUUUCAGGACUGAGUCCAUCCGUUGGAUGUGAACUCAGCUCCUGGACUACAACUGUCAGCUUUCUCAGCGUUGCCUUGAUCGGUCGCGCUGGGUGACUGGCGAGUUUAUCUUGAAUAAAUUAGAGUGCUCAACGCGGGCUUACGCCUGAAUACUCGUGCAUGGAAUAAUGGAAUAGGAUCUCGGUUCUAUUUUAUUGGUUUUCUGAUCUGAGAUAAUGGUUAAGAGGGACGGACGGGGGCAUUCGUAUCGCUGCGUGAGAGGUGAAAUUCUUGGACCGUAGCGAGACGCCCGACUGCGAAAGCAUUUGCCAAGAAUGUCUUCAUUAAUCAAGAACGAAAGUCAGA
rnacentral:rRNA from 1 species